rnacentral:tRNA from 1 species
UCCGCCCCUCUACUAUAUUCCUUUUUACUU